rnacentral:rRNA from 1 species
GACGAACGCUGGCGGCGUGCUUAACACAUGCAAGUCGAACGGUAAAGCGCUUCUCUUUUGGGUGGCUCUGGUGGCGAACGGGUGGGUAACAUGUGAGGUACCUGCCCUGGACUUUUGGAUAGGUUCACGGCACGGGAGUGUAUACCGUAUAGGAGCUCCUGCUGCAUUGGGGUGGUGGGAAAGUGUCGGCGGUUGGGUAGGGGCGCGCGGCUUUUGAGCUUGUUGGUGGGGUUGUGGCGUACGACGGCUUUGACGGGUAGACGGCCUGAGCGGGUGGGCGGCCACAUUGGGACUGAGAUACGGGCCAGACUCCUAGGGGAGGCAGCAGUGGGGACUAUUGUAAAGUGGGGGGACGCCUGAUGCAGCAACGCCGCGUGCGGGAUGAAGGCCUUCGGGUUGUAAACCGCUCUCGCCUGUGACGAAGCGUGAGUGACGGUAAUGGGUAAAGAAGCACCGGCUAACUACGUG